UGCAGUCGAACGGUACAGGAAGAAGCUUGCUGCUUUGCUGACGAGUGGCGGACGGGUGAGUAAUGUCUGGGAAACUGCCUGAUGGAGGGGGAUAACUACUGGAAACGGUAGCUAAUACCGCAUAACGUCGCAAGACCAAAGAGGGGGACCUUCGGGCCUCUUGCCAUCGGAUGUGCCCAGAUGGGAUUAGCUUGUUGGUGGGGUAACGGCUCACCAAGGCGACGAUCCCUAGCUGGUCUGAGAGGAUGACCAGCCACACUGGAACUGAGACACGGUCCAGACUCCUACGGGAGGCAGCAGUGGGGAAUAUUGCACAAUGGGCGCAAGCCUGAUGCAGCCAUGCCGCGUGUAUGAAGAAGGCCUUCGGGUUGUAAAGUACUUUCAGCGGGGAGGAAGGGAGUAAAGUUAAUACCUUUGCUCAUUGACGUUACCCGCAGAAGAAGCACCGGCUAACUCCGUGCCAGCAGCCGCGGUAAUACGGAGGGUGCAAGCGUUAAUCGGAAUUACUGGGCGUAAAGCGCACGCAGGCGGUUUGUUAAGUCAGAUGUGAAAUCCCCGGGCUCAACCUGGGAACUGCAUCUGAUACUGGCAAGCUUGAGUCUCGUAGAGGGGGGUAGAAUUCCAGGUGU
rnacentral:rRNA from 1 species